rnacentral:RNase_P_RNA from 1 species
CCAUGCUAGCACUGGCUGUGAUGCCAGUAGUGAUUGUGCUAGGCGAACACAUAAGCCUAGGGAUGUGCAUACACAUUACGGCGAAGGAAAUGGCUAAGUCGUUUGAUAUGCCAAAGUACUUCUGAAAGUGCCACAGUGACGUAGUUUUUAUGGAAACGUAAAAAAUGGAACGCGGUAAACCCCUCAAGCUAGCAACCCAAACUUUGGUAGGGGCAUGGGAUAGUUGGAAACGAACAAGCUAUCCUGACUGUCAACAGACGGUAGACAGAUGAUUAUCGAAGGAAAUAAUUCCUAGUUAUUUCCGGAACAAAACAUGGCUUAUAGAA